GAUGAACGCUGGCGGUGUGCCUAAUACAUGCAAGUCGAGCGAAUAGACGAGGAGCUUACUCCUCUGACGUUAGCGGCGGACGGGUGAGUAACACGUGGAUAACCUACCUAUAAGACUGGGAUAACUUCGGGAAACCGGAGCUAAUACCGGAUAACAUGUUGAACCGCAUGGUUCAACAGUGAAAGACGGUCUUGCUGUCACUUAUAGAUGGAUCCGCGUCGCAUUAGCUAGUUGGUAAGGUAACGGCUUACCAAAGCAACGAUGCGUAGCCGACCUGAGAGGGUGAUCGGCCACACUGGAACUGAGACACGGUCCAGACUCCUACGGGAGGCAGCAGUAGGGAAUCUUCCGCAAUGGGCGAAAGCCUGACGGAGCAACGCCGCGUGAGUGAAGAAGGUCUUCGGAUCGUAAAACUCUGUUAUUAGGGAAGAACAAAUGUGUAAGUAACUAUGCACGUCUUGACGGUACCUAAUCAGAAAGCCACGGCUAACUACGUG
rnacentral:rRNA from 1 species